rnacentral:rRNA from 1 species
GAUGAACGCUGGCGGCGUGCCUAAUACAUGCAAGUCGAGCGAACAGACGAGGAGCUUGCUCCUCUGACGUUAGCGGCGGACGGGUGAGUAACACGUGGAUAACCUACCUAUAAGACUGGGAUAACUUCGGGAAACCGGAGCUAAUACCGGAUAAUAUAUUGAACCGCAUGGUUCAAUAGUGAAAGACGGUUUUGCUGUCACUUAUAGAUUGAUCCGCGCCGCAUUAGCUAGUUGGUAAGGUAACAGCUUACCAAGGCAACGAUGCGUAGCCGACCUGAGAGGGUGAUCGGCCACACUGGAACUGAGACACGGUCCAGACUCCUACGGGAGGCCGCAGUAGGGAAUCUUCCGCAAUGGGCGAAAGCCUGACGGAGCAACGCCGCGUGAGUGAUGAAGGUCUUCGGAUCGUAAAACUCUGUUAUUAGGGAAGAACAAAUGUGUAAGUAACUAUGCACGUCUUGACGGUACCUAAUCAGAAAGCCACGGCUAACUACGUG